rnacentral:rRNA from 1 species
AUUGCGUGGCGACCGGCGCACGGGUGAGUAACACGUAUCCAACCUGCCUUUUACUCGGGGAUAGGCGUUGUCGAAAGAAAGAUUAAUACCCGAUGGCAUAAUAUUUCCGCAUGGGAUUAUUAUUAAAGAAUUUCGGUAAAAGAUGGGGAUGCGUUCCAUUAGGCAGUUGGCGGGGUAACGGCCCACCAAACCGACGAUGGAUAGGGGUUCUGAGAGGAAGGUCCCCCACAUUGGUACUGAGACACGGACCAAACUCCUACGGGAGGCAGCAGUGAGGAAUAUUGGUCAAUGGGCGCGAGCCUGAACCAGCCAAGUCGCGUGAGGGAUGAAGGUUCUAUGGAUCGUAAACCUCUUUUAUAAGGGAAUAAAGUGCGGGACGUGUCCCGUUUUGUAUGUACCUUAUGAAUAAGGAUCGGCUAACUCCGUGCCAGCAGCCGCGGUAAUACGGAGGAUCCGAGCGUUAUCCGGAUUUAUUGGGUUUAAAGGGUGCGUAGGCGGCCUUUUAAGUCAGCGGUGAAAGUCUGUGGCUCAACCAUAGAAUUGCCGUUGAAACUGGGAGGCUUGAGUAUGUUUGAGGCAGGCGGAAUGCGUGGUGUAGCGGUGAAAUGCAUAGAUAUCACGCAGAACCCCGAUUGCGAAGGCAGCCUGCCAAGCCAUUACUGACGCUGAUGCACGAAAGCGUGGGGAUCAAACAGGAUUAGAUACCCUGGUAGUCCACGCAGUAAACGAUGAUCACUAGCUGUUUGCGAUACAUUGUAAGCGGCACAGCGAAAGCGUUAAGUGAUCCACC